rnacentral:antisense_RNA from 1 species
ACUUCACGUAAUCGGAUUUGGCUGAAUAUUUUAGCCGCCCCAGUCAGUAAUGACUGGGGCGUUUUUUAUUGGGCGAAAGAAAAGAUCCGUAAUGCCUGAUGCGCUAUGU